rnacentral:rRNA from 1 species
CGACGUGCCAGCAGCCGCGGUAAUACGUAGGGUCCAAGCGUUAAUCGGAAUUACUGGGCGUAAAGCGUGCGCAGGCGGUUGUGCAAGACCGAUGUGAAAUCCCCGAGCUUAACUUGGGAAUUGCAUUGGUGACUGCACGGCUAGAGUGUGUCAGAGGGGGGUAGAAUUCCACGUGUAGCAGUGAAAUGCGUAGAGAUGUGGAGGAAUACCGAUGGCGAAGGCAGCCCCCUGGGAUAAACACUGACGCUCAUGCACGAAAGCGUGGGGAGCAAACAGGAUUAGAUACCCUGGUAGUCCACGCCCUAAACGAUGUCAACUAGUUGUUGGGGAUUCAUUUCCUUAGUAACGUAGCUAACGCGUGAAGUUGACCGCCUGGGGAGUACGGUCGCAAGAUUA